rnacentral:lncRNA from 1 species
GGCUAUCAUUGGAUGGGGGUGCUUAAGUCUUUGGUGACACCAGCUCGGGCCAGGGCGAUUGCAGGACGUAGCGCAGACGACAUCGAGAGGGCUGCGACGGUCUAUCUCCAAAGGGUAUGUUUCUAAUUCUAUCCUUUUACGUCGAGUCUUAUUUUUUUAGCAUGGGUUUACCACUCGACUCUCACAUUGUCUCCUCAUCCUUUAGGUGGUGGCCCUUCAGAUCGGGCUUGCUGAAUCAAGUCAUCACCAGGCCUUAGAGUUGAAGACUCUUGCAGAAGAGAAGAAGAAAGAGACACAUCAUUACAAGAAAAAGAUAUCUUCCUUGAAGAAAUCUCUAGAGGCGUCGGAGGCUCGAGCCCGCGAGCACGAGAUAGAGAAUGACAAUUUGCGGUCUAUGUUGGCUCGUGCUCCGGAGGAGGCGAUCAAGAGGUAUAAGGCCUCUGCUGAGCAUACUAGGGACUUAGAGGCAUCUGUUG